CCUACGGGUGGCAGCAGUGAGGAAUAUUGGUCAAUGGACGAGAGCCUGAACCAGCCAAGUAGCGUGAAGGAUGACUGCCCUAUGGGUUGUAAACUUCUUUUAUAUGGGAAUAAAAUGUUCCACGUGUGGGAUUUUGUAUGUACCAUAUGAAUAAGGAUCGGCUAACUCCGUGCCAGCAGCCGCGGUAAUAAGGAGGGUACGAGCGUUAUCCGGAUUUAUUGGGUUUAAAGGGAACGUAGGUGGGUUGUUAAGUCAGUUGUGAAAGUUUGCGGCUCAACCGUAAAAUUGCAGUUGAAACUGGCAGUCUUGAGUACAGUAGAGGUGGGCGGAAUUCGUGGUGUAGCGGUGAAAUGCUUAGAUAUCACGAAGAACUCCGAUGGCGAAGGCAGCUCACUGGACUGCAACUGACACUGAGGCUCGAAAGUGUGGGUAUCAAACAGGAUUAGAUACCCUGGUAGUC
rnacentral:rRNA from 1 species